UGAAUACGAGACGCUAAGGCGUCGAAGUAGUGUAUGUCAUACUUCCAAGAAAAGCUUGCACUGUCAUAGAUAAAAAACGCCUGUACCAUAACCGACACAGGUGGGUAGGUAGAGUAUACUAAGGGGCGCGAGAUAACUCUCUCUAAGGAACUCGGCAAAAUAACUCCGUAACUUCGGGAGAAGGAGUGCCUUAUUCUUAAGGUUGCAAUAACAAGAUCCAAGCAACUGUUUAUCAAAAACACAGGUCUCCGCUAAGUCGUAAGACGAUGUAUGGGGGCUGACGCCUGCCCAGUGCCAGAAGGUUAAAGAAGCUGGUUAGCAUUUGCGAAGCUAGUAACUGAAGCCCUGGUGAACGGCGGCCGUAACUAUAACGGUCCUAAGGUAGCGAAAUUCCUUGUCGGGUAAGUUCCGACCCGCACGAAAGGCGUAAUGAUUUGGAUACUGUCUCGGAGAGGGGCUCGGUGAAAUAGACUUGUCUGUGAAGAUGCGGACUACCUGCACCAGGACAGAAAGACCCUAUGAAGCUUUACUGUAACUUGAAAUUGAAAUUGGACUUUAUUCGCGCAGUAUAGGUGGGAGGCGUUGAUUAUAAUCUUGCGGGAUUAUUGGAGCCAUUAGUGAGAUACCACUCUUGUAAUGUUAGAUUUCUAACUUUGAAUCAUUAUCUGGUCAAAGAACAGUUUCAGGCGGGCAGUUUGACUGGGGCGGUCGCCUCCUAAACGGUAACGGAGGCGUACAAAGGUUUCCUCUGAACGGUUAGAAAUCGUAUCUAGAGUGUAAAGGCAUAAGGAAGCUUGACUGUGAGACCUACAAGUCGAGCAGGGACGAAAGUCGGUCUUAGUGAUCUGACGGUACUGAGUGGAAAGGCCGUCACUCAACGGAUAAAAGUUACUCUAGGAUAACAGGCUGAUCUCCCCCAAGAGUUCACAUCGACGGGGAGGUUUGGCACCUCGAUGUCGGCUCAUCGCAUCCUGGGGCGGUAGUACGUCCCAAGGGUUGGGCUGUUCGCCCAUGAAAGCGGUACGCGAGCUGGGUUCAGAACGUCGUGAGACAGUUCGGUCCAUAUCCGGUGUAGGCGUUAGAAUAUUGAGAGGAGCCUUCUUUAGUACGAGAGGACCGAGAAGGACAUACCUCUGGUGUACCAGUUAUCGUGCCAACGGUAAACGCUGGGUAGCUAUGUAUGGAGUGGAUAACCGCUGAAAGCAUCUAAGUGGGAAGCCCACCUCAAGAUAAGUAUUCUCC
rnacentral:rRNA from 1 species